UGCAGGAGGCAGCCAAUCAAUGUUUCUUUCUAAUUGCUGUUUCUGUGUGUCUAUCCUUUCCCUUCCUUUCUCUCUAAAAUUAAUUUUAACAUUUAAAAAAUGUUCUGAUUUCUUUAUUUUCUUCUCUAGUAGCUCUCUUUGCUAGAAAAUCUUUUCUGCUUAAUAAAGUAAUCUGAAUAAAGUAAUUCAUUCAAAUGUGAAUGUAAAUAAAAGUGAGCAUGGUUGGUAGCGUUUUUUCCUUAAGAUCAUUCUGAUUACAAAAGCUCACACCUGCUGCUGGUACAUGCUCAUUGAAGAUAAUAAAAGAAUGAAGAAGUAUAAGGAGGAAAGUAGGAAUGUCCACCAUCCUAUAUAAUAAAAAGCUAAUAUGCAAAUAGACCAAACUGCGCAACAAUCGGACAACCGGUUGCUAUGACGUGCGCUAACUACCAGGGGGCGCACGCAGAACGUGGCAGACGUCAGCAGAAGGUUGCAGAGUGUCAAACAUGGCAGGUGUUGGCCGCAGUGGGAUGGUGGAGCAGAUAUUAGCAUUUAAAAGUGGAAGUUGAGGUAUCUGUUUGGAAGAAUGGGGGAAAGGAGGAGACUUCCAAAUUGGUGGCCUUCUCUGACUUCCCCUGACUGCUUUCACCUUGCCUGAUCCUCUAUGCUCCAGUGUGUUUCACAGACACUAAUCCUAGGGAAUGCUCUUUGAAAACAAGAAAUCAAGAAAGUUUGAAAAUAUUGUAUGUAAUUUUCAUGGAGUUUAAUAAAAGUUUUUUAGAAGAACAA